rnacentral:rRNA from 1 species
GCGAGGUGAAGCAAAUCCCAAAAAAACGUAGUCUCAGUUCAGAUUGUAGGCUGCAACUCGCCUACAUGAAGUCGGAGUUGCUAGUAAUCGCGGAUCAGAAUGCCGCGGUGAAUGCGUUCCCGGGUCUUGUACACACCGCCCGUCACACCAUGGAAGUUGGGGGCGCCCGAAGUUGCCUAAGAAAUAAGGUACCUAAGGCGAAACCAAUGACUGGGGUGAAGUCGUAACAAGGUAAC